ensembl:ncRNA lncRNA:CR44830 long non-coding RNA:CR44830
AUUCACGAACAUUCUGCGGACUUGUAGAGAUAGUUUCCCAAUCCGCGUUACCCGAAACUCGAUUCCCGCCCCAGGUGGGAUGCACCGACCCUCUCAAAGUCCAGCGACCAACGUGAUCUCCUGCUGAAUGGGAGCGAGCGCUAAUUGAGCACCCUCGAAAUUAAUUAGCUUGACCCACUCCACACAUUAAAGGGGACCUACACUCACAUUCGCAUAAAGGUGGGCCAAGUUCGGAAAGCCAAAGAGCUGUCGUGACGUCAGUGGCAUUUUGAGAUACAGGCACUUGAAGCCAAUAAGCCAGGAACAGGUUCAAUGGGAAUGGAGGGCUCUGCUCAGAAGGAUAUGGUAUGAUGAUAUUUCUGCAGUUCUAAAACCUAAGAACAGUAAUUGACUGAUUUUGUGAUGCAAAGGAAUAAAUUUUAGCUACUAACGUUAACGAAUCAGAACAGAAAUGUAAUCAUGGUCUGUUGCACUAUGAUGCCGCUGAGGUUGGUGCCAUUUUUGGCAGGCAACUGUGACCUGUUUGUGUAGAGGCAAUCACUCAGAGAUCACAUUAAGUUGGAAGCCCCCGUUCCCCGGAUGUCGAGAAUCAGAACCGGACAAUCCGCUACGCAGCGGGCUGAGCCGAUUUUUGCAUAGUGCCGCAUGACUGGGCUAUUUUCCUUUGUCACCUGUGUUUUGGGUACUCCUCAUAUCGCCUGCCUGCCGUACACAAAUCACUUCUCAGAACGAGGUGCAAUUGUCUUAGUAUUGCGAUCAUUUGUCUCACGUUGCGAAACUCCGAAGAUGUGGCUGACGCAACAUUGAGAACUGGACAAUAAGAGCAUGGGGAAGAUCACUCAUACGCCCUGUGCAGCAGUGUGGGUAAUUACACGCUUACAAGAAGACGAGGCACGGGCAAAAGCUCGGACUUGAGUCAGAUGUACACUAACACAGGCGAGUCAUUGGACUAGUUUCAUAACUGCCAAAACAACAACGUGCCCCUCUGCCCACUCCACCUUUUUGGAGCUGCAGUCCGGCUUGGCCCGCCUCUGAUUCGGUUUCUGUAGCGGACUUAGUAUCGGGCUCGGCCCGGGCUCAGGUGAAUCUGAAUGCCACACACCUGGGCAUGACCUUCAUGGCUAAAAACAGCGGUUGCGGCGACGCCACUGCGCUGUUCCCCUAAACAGCGACUGCGGCAGAGCCCGCAACUGCGCUGGCGCACCGUGCCGACGCUAAAGUAACAUUUUACGGCCAAAAACCAAAGCGUCGACAACAACAAGAAUCUCAAUAAUAAUAACAAUAAUCGACAAAGACGUUAAAAAGCAGCAACAACGCACAACAGUCAACACGACGGCAAACAGAAACCACAGCAACAUAUUAGCCCCCUUCCUCGGAGCUCAAAGCUUUCGGCGCGCUCGAGAUCGAAAGCUACACUGUAGAUCACAUCUUGGUUGUAGUCGGCCAUGGCAAUACCCUAACCGGAAAUCGUCAAGCGCGGAACUUAAUAAAUAGGUUUUCAGGUUCGCCACCUGACUUACAUUGUUUUUCUGUUUUUUUUUUUCACUUUUUAACUUAGUAAUUAAAAAGGCCUAGGCAGCAUU